GUGAGGGAUAUUGCGCAAUGGAGGAAACUCUGACGCAGCGAUGCCGCGUGAAUGAAGAAGGCCUUCGGGUUGUAAAAUUCUUUUCCAGGGGAAGAGAGAGGACGGUACCCUGGGAAUAAGUCCCGGCUAACUACGUGCCAGCAGCCGCGGUAAGACGUAGGGGACGAGCGUUAUCCGGAAUUAUUGGGCGUAAAGCGCUUGUAGGCGGUUAGAUAAGAUGGACGUGAAAUCUUCUGGCUUAACUGGAAGGGGUCGUUCAAGACUGUCUGGCUGGAGUGAGGUCGAGGAAGUUGGAAUUCCCGGUGUAGUGGUGGAAUGCGUAGAGAUCGGGAGGAACACCAGAGGCGAAAGCGGACUUCUGGGCCUUAACUGACGCUGAGAAGCGAAAGCGUGGGGAGCGAACGGGAUUAGAAACCCUGGUAGUCC
rnacentral:rRNA from 1 species